AUAAAAAUAAUUGAUAAAACUCAUAUAUAUCCUGAAUAUGGCAGGAAGUAUCUACCAGAAACCGUUAAUUUCUGACUAUGAGUGAUUGAGGCGUGUUU
rnacentral:ncRNA from 2 species